rnacentral:rRNA from 1 species
GACCUCGGAUCAGGUAGGGAUACCCGCUGAACUUAAGCAUAUCAAUAAGCGGAGGAAAAGAAACCAACAGGGAUUGCCCUAGUAACGGCGAGUGAAGCGGCAACAGCUCAAAUUUGAAAUCUGGCGUCUUUGGCGUCCGAGUUGUAAUUUGCAGAGGGCGCUUUGGCAUCGGCAGCGGUCCAAGUUCCUUGGAACAGGACGUCACAGAGGGUGAGAAUCCCGUACGUGAUCGCUAGCCUUUACCGUGUAAAGCCCCUUCGACGAGUCGAGUUGUUUGGGAAUGCAGCUCUAAAUGGGAGGUAAAUUUCUUCUAAAGCUAAAUACUGGCCAGAGACCGAUAGCGCACAAGUAGAGUGAUCGAAAGAUGAAAAGCACUUUGGAAAGAGAGUUAAAAAGCACGUGAAAUUGUUGAAAGGGAA